rnacentral:rRNA from 1 species
UUCCGGUUGAUCCUGCCGGAGGCGACCGCUUUGGGAGUUCGAUUAAGCCAUGCGAGUCGUGAGUCUUAGGGACUCGGCAUACUGCUCAGUAACACGUGGAUAACCUGCCCUAUCGUCUGGAAUAACCUCGGGAAACUGAGAAUAAGGCCGGAUAGUUCACAAUGCCUGGAACGGUUUGUGAAUCAAGGUAGGAUGGGUCUGCGGCGUAUCAGGUUGUAGGGGGUGUAAAGGACCCCCUAGCCUUCGACGCGUACGGGUGUUGGGAGACAUAGCCCGGAGAUGGAUUCUGAGACACGAAUCCAGACCCUACGGGGUGCAGCAGGCGCGAAAACUUCACACUGCAGGAAACUGUGAUGAGGGAACUCCUAGUGCAUGCACUAUGUGUAUGUAGAUCCUACUCUUAACAAGUAGAGGGAAAGGGCUGGGAAAGACCGGUGCCAGCCGCCGCGGUAAUACCGGCAGCUCAAGUGGUCGUCGCUUUUAUUGGACCUAAAACGUCCGUAGCCUGUUUGGUAAAUCUGUGGGUAAAUCAAUCCGCUCAACGGAUUGAAUUCUGCAGAGACUGCCAGACUAGGGACCGGGAGAGGUGUGGGGUACUCGAGGGGUAGGGGUAAAAUCCUGUCAUCCUUCGAGGACCACCAGCUGCGAAGGCGCCACACUGGAACGGAUCCGACGGUCAGGGACGAAGCCUAGGGGCACGAACCGGAUUAGAUACCCGGGUAGUCCUAGGUGUAAACGCUGUGAACUUGGUGUCGGGGGUCCGCAAGGGGUCCCGGCGCCGGAGUGAAGAUGUUAAGUUCACUGCCUGGGGAGUACGGUCGCAAGGCUGAAACUUAAAGGAAUUGGCGGGGCAGCAC